rnacentral:misc_RNA from 1 species
UAGCAAGAUUAGCGCGAGUGUAGCAG